rnacentral:rRNA from 1 species
AUGGUGUCGAGGCGCUCCCGUGGCAACUGCACGCCUCUCGUCAUCGACGUGGAGGCGGCUCGCAAGGCCGUCCGCGGUUUUCUGGUGGUCGGGCGCCUCCUCUCCCCCUUCAAGGUUAAUCCGAGAGUCAUUGUCGACGACCUUCGGAACACGGCUUGGAAGAACCAAGGGGUCAUCACUAUCCAAGAGGUGGCCAGCGACGACGGGAGGUUCAUCCUCAACUUAGCCGCCGAGAGUGACCGUCGGUUCGUGCUUAAGGCGCAGCCAUGGCACUUCAAGUAGGACGGCCUCAUCUUCGCCGAGUUCGACGGCAAGGGCGACCCGGCGGAGGUUGACCUUGGCGUCAUGACCAUAUGGGUCUAGGUACGCGACCUCCCAUUUGAGCUCAAGACGGAGAGUGUAGGGUGGUCUCUCGAGGAUCAACUGGGAGAGGUGCUGGAGGUAUCGCACCGUAACCAUCUUAUUGUUGAAAAACAUUUGCGUGUUCAGGUGAAGAUUUUAUUGCAUGAACCUCUGAAGAGCUCUGUAGUGAUUACCCCUUUAGGUAGCUCAAAGAUUCUUAAAUUUGAUGUAAAGUAUGAGAAGCUACCUUUGUACUAUGAGUGUUGUGGGAUAGUAGGUCAUACUUCUGAGAGAUUUUGUAAAAUCCCAAGUGAGGAGAGAGUAGUUUGCUUCCCAAAAAACCUUAGUGUUGAGCCUUAUUGGAAGAGCCAAGGUGCUAGCAGGAGGGGUCUCCUCUUCGGUAACUACUCUUGCGGCGGAAAUCAUAUGUCUACAGGCAUCGUCGACAACAACAUCGCCAAACCCGCCGACGUCGUCAAGGUGGCCACUGCCGUGGAUGGUCUCACGGUCUCUGAUAAAAGGGUUGGCUCUUCCGUCAAGAUGACCACCGGCCAGGAGGGCCGGGCUCGAGGGGUCUUGCCGCGUGCACCGGCAGGCGCGUCACUUGGUCAGGAGGAUCAGGGGGGUGCGAUGGCUGCUCUUGCCAGGCAGGACCUUGAGGUCCAGGGCAAAGCAGCCCUGGAGGACUUGCGCCAGGAGGGGAUGCAAGACCAGCAGCUGCAGGCUAAUGUUGACUCGGUCCAAGACCUCUUGGCGGGUCAGGUGGCCACUUGCAGUCAAUUACAGGGAACACUCAGCCAGGUCCCAGCGCCUGGUGGUGAUAAUGGUAGCCUCCUCUUCCAGUCAGGGGUGCUAGAGGCACUGUCCAGCGCGGUUGCCGCAAGGAUCGCUACGGCAGGUGGUGGUACGAAAAAUAAUGUCGUACGCUUUACAUUCAGUGCAGCUAAAAACUCUAUGCAGGGCAACUCAAAAAAGAAAGACAAAAAAAGGGGUGCCAAAUAG